rnacentral:ncRNA from 1 species
CGGGCUGGCCGUGAGGUCUGGUUCACCAACAGCGGGGAAAUUCCCC